CAGUAGCCGCGGGAAUACGUAGGGUGCGAGCGUUAAUCGGAAUUACUGGGCGUAAAGCGUGCGCAGGCGGUUAUAUAAGACAGAUGUGAAAUCCCCGGGCUCAACCUGGGACCUGCAUUUGUGACUGUAUAGCUAGAGUACGGUAGAGGGGGAUGGAAUUCCGCGUGUAGCAGUGAAAUGCGUAGAUAUGCGGAGGAACACCGAUGGCGAAGGCAACCCCCUGGACCUGUACUGACGCUCAUGCACGAAAGCGUGGGGAGCAAACAGGAUUAGAUACCCCAGUAGUCCCUGUCUCUUAUAC
rnacentral:rRNA from 1 species